rnacentral:rRNA from 1 species
GAUCAUGGCUCAGAGUGAACGCUGGCGGCGUGCCUAAUACAUGCAAGUCGAACGGACAAGUAAGAGCUUGCUCUUAUGAGUUAGUGGCGCACGGGUGAGUAAUGUAUAGCUAAUCUGCCCUACACUAGAGGACAACAGUUGGAAACGACUGCUAAUACUCUAUACUCCUGUCUUACAUAAGUUAGAUAGGGAAAGUUUUUCGGUGUAGGAUGAGGCUAUAUUGUAUCAG